rnacentral:rRNA from 1 species
GACGAACGCUGGCGGCGUGCUUAACACAUGCAAGUCGAACGAAGUGGCGAACGGGUGAGUAAUACGUGGGUAACCUGGCCUCCUUUUUGGGAUAAGCCUUGGAAACGGGGUCUAAUACCGAAUAAAGGGGGAUGGGCUGGCGGCGAAUCAGCUUGGUGGUGGGGUGAUGGCCUACCAAGGCGGUGACGGGUAGCGGGCCUGAGAGGGUGAACGGGCACAGUGGUACUGAGAUACGUCCCAGACGCCUAAGCGAUGGAGAAGUGGGGGAUAUUGCACAAAGUGCGAAAGCGUGAUGCAGCGACGCCGCGUGGGGGAUGAGGGCUUUCGGGUUGUAAACCUAUUUCGCUAUCGAACCGGUAGGUGGAGAAGAAGCGCCGGCUAACUACGUGCCAGCAGCCGCGGUAAUUC